AUUGUAACUGAAUACAAGAAUAAAAGUGUUCAAGACAAAUAACGGUGUAUGUGACAAAAUACCUUCCUCGCGAGAUCUCUGGCAGCGAUCCCAAAAUCGUACUCACAACGAGGGGUACAACAGUGGUGCCAGCGGUGGGAUUUUGCACUGCCAAAAGGAGGACCACAACAAUUGGUAUAUAAAAUAAGUCUUUGUUUAACUAAAGAUUUGUAUCGUGUUUGCAAAAAUCAAAUUUAAAUUCUUAUUCGUAGCUUACCUAUUACUUACAAGAUGGUACAAGUUGGCCUAGGGAGCACAUUUACGAUGUAAUAAUGUUACUCGUCCACCAUAGAAGCGCACGUGUGCGUCAUAAAUUUCUGCGACAUUUGCGAACAUUUGCAAAUGCCGAGAGUAACGUGGCAGUGAAAAUCGAUGCGUUAUUAUCAGGUUAAAUAUUAAAAACAAAGACGCGCGUUGAAAAAGACAUGGUAGAGACGGGACAGAUCUGUAAUUAAAAGUCGAAGUGACAGACAUUUAAUCGAAUUUCAAACGCCGCCCAAGUGUCACAUUACCACAGAAGUGUAGUCUAAAAGGAACGCAUCGAUAUUUGUUAGCGGAGUGAACAUGAGAAAUUUACCAAUGACACAUCUAGCAAAGAACCACGCAAACAUUUUACUUAUAUUGCAUUUUAUUUAUAAUAUAUCUUAUUACCGCCUUUGUCGCAAAUUAUUGUUUUAUUUAUAAAACUUUGAGAAAAAUAAAAAUACAUUUAAUCUAAUAUAUAGCUAAAGAGAUGUGUAAUAUAAUUGUCUAUAUAUUAUUCUCCUAAUUAUGUGUCGUUGUUGCACAGUAAUUAAUUGAUGCAAAACAAUGUAGAAAUUAUUUUGUAAUCCAAGUUCCAAAAGAGUGUUUCUACUUAUCACGAAAAAA